rnacentral:rRNA from 2 species
UAAAUAAAUUGAGUUUGAUCCUAGCUCAGAGUGAAGGCUAUAAGCCUGCUUGAAUACAUGCGAGUUGAAUGGUUUUGUGCCAUAGCGUACGGGUGAGUAAAGAGUCAAUAUCUACCCUUAACCUUGGAAUAAUUCUAUCUCUUAGGGGAGAAACAAUUGGAAAAAUACCAAAUAGAUUAGAUUAUAAAAGGUACGCCGGUUAGGGAUGAUUAGAUUUAGUAUUAGGUAGUCGGUUGGGUUAAGCUUACCGAGCCAAAGAUGCUUAGUUGGUCUGUGAGGACGAUCAAUCACACUGGGACUGAGACAAGGCCCAGGUUUCAUUUGAAGGCAGCAGUAAGGAAUAUUGGACAAUGAGCGAAAGCUUGAUCCAGCAAGGCUUGGUGAGGGAUUGAAGGCUAAGGUUGUAAACCUCUUUUUUAACCUAGGAUAAUGACAUUAAGUUAAGAAUAAGUCCCGACUAACUUCGUGCCAGCAGUCGCGGUAAUACGAAGGGGGCUAGCCUUAUUCGUCAUAACUGGGCGUAAAGGGUCCGUAGGUAGCUCUUUGUAAUGUUAUAGGUCAAAUCCUUUAGCUAAACUAAAGAAAGGUCUUUAAUACAGAAGAACUUGAGUCUGAUAAAGGAUAAUGGAAUUUUUCAACUAGGGGUAAAAUCCAUAGAAGUGGAAACGAACAUCAAAUGCGAAAGCGAUUAUCUAGUUCAGUACUGACGCUGAGGGACGAAGGCAUAGGUAGCGAACAGGAUUUGAGACCCUGGUAGUCUAUGCUGUCAACGAUGAAUGCUAGUUUUUAGAUCAUUAGAAACUAUAGCUAAGGCAUUAAGCAUUCCGCCUGAGGAGUACGAGCGCAAGCUUAAAAAUCAACGGAAUUGGCGGGGGUUCAAACAAGUGGUGGAGCAUGUGGUUUAAUGCGAUAAUACGCGCGCAACCUUACCAGUUCUAGUAAGUCUGUCAUUCUUGCGGAGACGUUUUGAAUUUUGGGACUUUCAGGUGUUGCAUGGCUGUCGUCAGCUCGUGUCGUGAGAUGUACGGUUAAUUCCUGUAACUGAGCGCAACCCUAAUCUUUUUUUGUUUUUAUCUCAAUAGAAGAUAAAAACUAACAAGAGACGGCCAGCCAUAAGCGGGAGGAAGGUUGGGAUGAGGUCAAGUCCUCAUGGCCCUAAUGAACUGGGCUACACACGUGCUACAAUGGAAAGAACAAUAAGUUGCAAAGACGUAAUUCAAAGCCAAUCUUUAAAUCUUUCCUUAGUUCGGAUUGAGGGCUGCAACUCGCCCUUAUGAAGUUGGAAUCACUAGUAAUCGCGUAUCAGGAUGCCGCGGUGAAUAUGUCACUGGGCCUUGCACACACCGCCCGUCACGUCCUGGAAGUUGACUUGGCUGGAAGAUUUGGGAAUAAACCUUUUAAGCUUUAUUACAAAUAAUACAAAAUAAAAAAUAUUAUAAAGGGCAAAUAAGGAAGUUUCUUUUAAAGGACAGGUAAACAACUGGGAUGAAGUCGUAACAAGGUAGUCGUAGGGGAACCUGCGGCUGGAAUACACAU